rnacentral:rRNA from 1 species
GCUUGUCUCAAAGAUUAAGCCAUGCAUGUCUAAGUAUAAGCAAACUUGUACUGUGAAACUGCGAAUGGCUCAUUAUAUCAGUUAUAGUCUACUCGAUAGUACCUUACUACUUGGAUAACCGUAGUAAUUCUAGAGCUAAUACAUGCGUAAACCCUCAUUGAGGCGUAUUUAUUAGAUACAACCAACCCCGCAAGGGUCCUGGUGAAUCAUAAUAACUGAGCGAACCGCAUGCUUCGGCGGCGGUGGUUCAUUCAAGUUUCUGCCCUAUCAGCUUUCGAUGGUAGGGUAUUGGCCUACCAUGGCGGUAACGGGUGACGGAGGAUUAGGGUUCGAUUCCGGAGAGGGAGCCUGAGAAACGGCUACCACAUCCAAGGAAGGCAGCAGG